GGAAAUGGCAAUCCACUCCAACAUUCUUGCCUAGAGAAUCCCAUGGACUGAGGAGCCUAGCGGGCUACCGUCCAUGGGGUUGCAAAGAGUCAGGCACAACCGAGUGACUAAGCACAUAUACUAUUGAGAUCAGAUCUGUACUACUCUAGAACCGUCCAUCACAUUAUAGAGAUACGAUGGGUUGUCUGAAUGUCCCAUUUUAUGAACCAAUGUUAAUCUACAUGCAGUCCCUUAAGAUCCAAAGGCAGAGACACAGAGGAUCAUUUUUUCUAUUAAUACAAGCUGGGAACAUAUGAAAACAGCUUCUGUUCUACAGUUUCUGUAUGCAGCCUUCCAGGCAAAGCCAGAGAACACUGCCUCCAUAGGAACUGAAGAAGAAGAUGCAGAAGAAGAAGAGGACAGGGAGGAGUAGAAAGCUGACUCCAUCACAUACAUAGAAUAUUAAGCACAAAGGCACUUUAGUUCACCUUUUUUAUUCCAUUUCAGCAAAAGGGUAGGAUGGAGAGAGAGAGGGGACGCAUUGGACCACGUGGCCAGGCCAGACCAAAUUCAUCCCUUUCGGCUAAUGGAGAAUUUUGAAGAAGAGAGAGAUGAACACCUCUUCCUCUCGUUUCUAAAUUCACCGUGUGUCUGGGCUGUGGCUAUAAGAUGAACCAGCUGCUGCUGGAGCUCGCACGUUCCAGUUCCCGGCUCCAGGUGUGUGGCCUGAAAAGAGAUGAAUGACAUGAUGCAGGCACAGCCAGUUUUCUCCACAGGGUACCAGGGAGCGAUGGCCCAAUGCAGAAUAGGCAGCCCUCGCUUCUCAAGCAUCUUCUCAGCCUGGCUGAGUCCUCAGGGAGAUGUGCGGUCCAGGAUGCGCAGAAGGAGACAGAUGAUAACAGCCCAGGUGCUGGACUAGGCAUUGACCAACAAUUACAAUCAUCACAAUUUCCCUAUAAGGGGAGCAUUGUGAGUCCCAUUUCCUGAAAGAGGAAAUGGAGGCCAGAACGUGGAUGGGAACCCAUGACCAUGUGACUGUGAAUCUCAUGGCCCUUCCAUCCUACCCGGUUGCUUUCCCAGCAUCUAGCCCAGUGCCUUGGCCAUAGGACAUGCUCCAUUCAUUCAUCCAUCCAUUCAUUCAUAAACGUUUAUUGAGGGCAUACUACCUGCCUGAGGAUAGAGCAGUGAACAAGUUAAAGACUCUUGCCUUUAAAGACUGCAGUGAUAAAUAAAUG
ensembl:lncRNA